rnacentral:rRNA from 1 species
CCUACGGGUGGCUGCAGUGGGGAAUAUUGGACAAUGGGGGAAACCCUGAUCCAGCAAUGCCGCGUGUGUGAAGAAGGCCUGCGGGUUGUAAAGCACUUUCGGUUGGGAAGAAAAGUUUGGCGCCAAUACCGCCGAACCUUGACGUUACGGACAGAAGAAGCACCGGCUAACUCUGUGCCAGCAGCCGCGGUAAGACAGAGGGUGCAAGCUGGAAGCGGAACCAGCGGGCGUAAAGAUGCCGGUGGGGGGUGAAAUCCCCGGGCUUAACCUGGGAACUGCAUUCGAUACUACAUGGCUAGAGUAUGGUAGAGGGAAGUGGAAUUUCCGGUGUAGCGGUGAAAUGCGUAGAUAUCGGAAGGAACACCAAUGGCGAAGGCAGCUUCCUGGACUAAUACUGACACUGAGGCACGAAAGCGUGGGUAGCAAACAGGAUUAGAUACCCUGGUAGUC